GAUGAACGCUAGCUACAGGCUUAACACAUGCAAGUCGAGGGGAAACGAUAGAGAAAGCUUGCUUUUUCUAGGCGUCGACCGGCGCACGGGUGAGUAACGCGUAUCCAACCUGCCCACCACUUGGGAAUAACCUUGCGAAAGUAAGACUAAUACCCAAUGAUACCUCUAGAAGACAUCUGAAGGAGAUUAAAGAAUUAUCGGUGAUGGAUGGGGAUGCGGCGGAUUAGCUUGUUGGCGGGGUAACGGCCCACCAAGGCGACGAUCAGUAGGGGUGCUGGGAGGAAGGUCCCCCACAUUGGAACUGAGACACGGUCCAAACUCCUACGGGAGGCAGCAGUGAGGAAUAUUGGUCAAUGGACGAGAGUCUGAACCAGCCAAGUAGCGUGCAGGAUGACGGCCCUAUGGGUUGUAAACUGCUUUUAUAAGGGAAUAAAGUGAGUCUCGUGAGACUUUUUGCAUGUACCUUAUGAAUAAGGACCGGCUAAUUCCGUGCCAGCAGCCGCCGUAA
rnacentral:rRNA from 1 species